rnacentral:rRNA from 1 species
UUAAACCGCCCGGGAACUACGAGACCAAUCUUAAAACCCAAAGGACUUGACGGKGUCCCACCCACCUARAGGAGCCUGUUUUUUAAUCGACACCCCCCGAUAUACCUCACCACUUCUAGCCUCUUCAGUCUGUAUACCUCCGUCGCAAGCUUACCAUGUGAACGCAUGAGUGAGCCAAAAGGCUUACCGCCAACACGUCAGGUCAAGGUGCAACUCACGAAGUGGCAAACAAUGGGCUACAAUUUCUAUUAUAGAACACACGAAAAACUGCAUGCAACACAGUCAUGAAGGUGGAUUUAGUAGUAAAAAGAAAAUAGAGAAUUCUUUUUAAUCAAGGCGCUGGGACGCGU